rnacentral:rRNA from 1 species
ACUCAAUAGAUACCCGGGUAGUCCCAGCAGUAAACGGUGCGCGUUUGGUGUGAGCAGAUUCGACUCUGUUCGCGCCGGAGCUAACGCGUUAAACGCGCCGCCUGGGAAGUACGAUCGCGAGAUUAAAACUCAAAGAAAUUGACGGGGGCCCGCACAAGCGGUGGAGUAUGUGGCUUAAUUCGAUGCAACGCGAAGAACCUUACCUGGGUUUGACAUGCAUCUCUAAGGAGGUGAAAGCUUCCGAGGGUAGCAAUACCCGAUUUGCACAGGUGCUGCAUGGCUGUCGUCAGCUCGUGUCGUGAGAUGUUGGGUUUAAGUCCCGCAACGAGCGCAACCCUUGUAUGCUGUUGCUAUGCUUACGCAUAGCUCUCUGCGUAGACUGCCCCGUGAAACGGGGAGGAAGGUGGGGAUGACGUCAAGUCAGCAUGGCCCUUACACCCAGGGGCUGCACACGUACUACAAUGCUCAGUACAAUUAGAACCUGCCCCGCGAGGGUUGGGAAAUCAGCGAAAACUGAG